GGUAAGGUCCAUGGCACUGCUAAGGGUAAGGUCCAUGGCACUGCUAAGGGUAAGGUCCAUGGCACUGUUAAGGGUAAGUUCCAUGGCACUGCUAAGGGUGAUCGGG